rnacentral:tmRNA from 1 species
GGGGUCGUUACGGAUUCGACAGGCAUUAUGAGGUAUAUUUUGCGACUCGUGUGGCGACGUAAACGCUCAGUUAAAUAUAACUGCAAAAAAUAAUAAUUCUUACGCUUUAGCUGCCUAAACACCAGCAGGCGUGACCCGAUUCGAAUCGCUCGCGUUUGAUGACAGGUCUUUAUUUGAGCGAGAUACGAUCAAGUUUUGUCUAGUAGCUUGAUAAGAGAUUGAUAGACUCGCAGUUUUUGGGCUUGAGUUAUGUGUCGAGAGGCUGUUAAAACAAAACAUAACCUAUGGUUGUAGACAAAUAUGCUGGCAGGUGUUUGGACGUGGGUUCGAUUCCCACCGGCUCCAUAU